UUAAAGUUAGCAGCACUGUAUCUAAAUUUACUAAUCUCAGUAUGACUUGAAAUAGCAAAGAUGUUUAAAGUGACACGUAGAGAAUGUAUACAUACGUACUAGUGCGUGUGUACUUUGUUAAAAUGGGUUUGAAAUGGACUGUUACCUUGGCAUACAUUCUUUAAAAAUUUUAACUGGUUGAGAUUAAGUGGAAUCCCACUGACAUCCUGUGUGAGAGUGGUGGUUCCUGAUGGUCUGGAUUGGUGUGUAGUGGCCCCUUUCAUAGGGAGAGUGUGUCCUAUCCCACGUGGUCGCCAAUAACCACCUGAAUGCUGUUUGUUGUUUCCACAUAAGUGGGCUGAUCACCUGGGCACCUUGACCUCUUGUCUUCUCUCAUUUCCCCACAUCCAGUGUUGUGAAGGCCUCCCCUCCUCUUCCCCCCCAAGGUGUGCAUUGCCUUUGAAAGGCUAGCAGGUAAGACCCUCGGGGAUGAUCAUAUAUUAAUAAAAAUUGCAAAAGUAAAGUGUUUGUCCUGUUAGGUCAGUGUUAUUCUUGAAUGGUUUUAAUUACUAAUUUUCAGAAU
rnacentral:lncRNA from 1 species